UAAUUUUGUGCGUAUGUGUGGUCUAAAUAAACAGAAAGAUAAAGAAAAAUAAUAAGUGGAUAUUGUUAUUACUCACUAAUGUAACUCUUCCUGCGGAAGUACAGUUUAAUGUAUUUAAGUAUGUUCGGAAAUCCCACAAAAUACAUCUACGCUCAAAAUGGGAAUUUUAACUCGUAGAGCGCAGACCUCUGCCAAGCACCAUAUUGUGACUUACAGCAUUAAUAGUAGUCAUACAUUUAUUUAAUCUACAUAUUUAGAUUUCUUGACCAUGAAGACAUACCAUUCGCAAUUGGGUUCAUAAUGAUAUCAAUUUGAGUUCAGUAGUUAUUUACAAAAAUUGUAUUUUUGGUACAUAUUUUUCUUCUGGAUCUAGCUCCAUAGCUUUUGAAGGUCCAUACAUCCGUUGUCACACUCCAGAUUCCACAGUGUCUUGGCUAUACUGUAUAUAAUGGUGUUUGUUGCAUGUUUAUAGCUUCAUUUGUUGUCUUCCAUCCAUCUUCUCUGCCGCUUAUCCUCAUGAGGGUCGCAGAUAUGCUGGAGCCUAUCCCAGCUGACUUGAGGCGAGAGGCGGGGUUCAACCCGGACUGGUUGGCAGUCAAUCGCAGGGCACAUAUAGACAAACAACCAUUCACACUCACAUUCAUACCUAUGGACAAUUAACCUAAUAUGCAUGUUUUUGGAACAUGGGAGGAAACCAGAGUGCCGGAGGGAACAUGCAAACUCCACACAGAGAUUCGACAUGGAUCUUCCCGCUCUCCUGACUGUGUGGCCAACAUGCCAACCACGAGGCCACCGUGUGGCCCUUGUCGUCUUCCUAUGAUGAAAAUUCCAAAGGUUCCCUAUUUUUUCAUGUUCUUUAUCAUAAUAUCCAGGAUUAUUCCAUCAUCUGGAUCAGUCUCUGGUAUUUUGUAGAACCUGUUGGAAACUUUUUACGUAUUUUUUUCCUCCAAGUGCUCUGACCUUUUUUUGUGGAGUUAUAUGCACAAAUGCUGAAAAUGGUCCUACCUCACAAUGUUAAAGAAUCCUUGAGGUCCAAUGUUAAAGAAAAAAUGUCUGCAUCCAAACGGUGAUCCGGAUCACCCCCAAAAUUUAAUCAGUUAUUCUAUAUCCCAUUUCCGACAAUUCCUGAAAAUUUCAUCCAAAUCCAUUCAGAACUUUUCAAGUUAUUUUGAACACAAACAGAUCAACGCUGGCAACAAAUAUAACCUCCAUGCUGCAUUUGGGCUUUGCGCAGGUAAUUAAUAUAAAAUUGUGCACUAUUUUUUUAUCUAUUUAUUCCUCUUCUCCCCUACUUCUUCUUAUUCCACCUCAUUUUUUGUCCGCUAACUACUAACUACCCUAACCAAUUCAAACAAAUCCAAUAUCAAAUUGUUCAGCUCACUCUGGACAAGUGUCACGUUCUGUGCGCUGUGUUGCUGCCCCCUCUCUGCUUUUUGUUGCAGCGCACCUCUCCUGCCAGUUUUGAGCUAAUUGACGCACCUGCAGCUCAUCUGGCGGCGACUCUUAAGCAGCAAGCACACCACCACUCGUCGCCAGAUUGCUGCCAGACUCACGAAAAUUUCACACAUCUGUGUAAUUUCAUAUUUUUUGUGAACAUUUUCCCAUUGAAAGUGAAUGGGCAAUUUAAAUGGUGUCCUCUGCUGAUGAAAUUUCGUUUUACAUAUUCCUUUCCAGAAUCAGUCUGCUGAAUCUACAGCAGUAACAUGGCUCAGGUGGUAAGCACACUUAGUUCCCAACCCAAAGGUUGUAGGUUCAAGUCAGUUGUCCAUGUUGUAUAAAAUUAUCUUACACAUGGAUGUCACUGUCUGUCGACUAAUUAGGGGCAAUGGUUUAACUGAGAUGAGAGUAAAUGCUGUUUGACUGAGUAGACCGUAAAUUCUGUUUGAUCACUUUGAUUUCUGAUUUCAACCAUCUAAGUUCAAACUAUUUUCAUCUUGAAAAUGAAUAGGAAAUUCUAAAGUAAAUAUUGAAAAUGUAAAUGCCCAUUCAUACUGGCGUUUCAUAUUUUCCAUUACGGAAUCACUCUGGUACUACUACACCCAUUCUGGUGAGAUUGUAGAAGUUGUGUUGCUCAGCUGAUAGUGCUUGGUUCCUCACCCAGGGAUUGUUGGUUUAAUUCCAGAGUCAAACUCCAGCUGCUCUUACUUUCAUUAUAAAUUUUUGCAUAUUUCCACAGCAUUUCAGCCGAGCUUCAGCUUCCAAGCGGCUCCUAUGUUCAUUCUAAAUUUAAAUUUUUGUACCUUUUCAAAGCAUUUCAGUUUCGCUUCAGCUUUUCAGUAUUCACACGCAAAGUCUACUGACAUUGCAUCAUCUAGUUACUUGGUGUCUUUGAACACAACUCUUCAUGGCUCAUAACACAGUUAAAUUGUGAUUCAAAUGUUUUACUAUUAAAGAGACUAGUGUUAGGCAAAUAGAUUUUCACACACACGUGCUAUCUUUUAGCUUGAGUUACAUUUUUAGUUCAUUUGGAGCUGUUAAUCCAAAUAUAUAAUUGUGUCCUGUCAUUUAUCUUUUUGAUCAUUUAUCUUUGUGUCCAUAAAAUACAGUAAAAAAUGGCCAUAUUUCACACAUAGUUGCAAAUGGUGAUUAAUCGUGAUUAAUUAAGUUGAAAAACUGUGAUUAAUUUGAUUAAAAUUUUUAACCAUUUGACAGCCCUACUAAAAACUGUAGUAUUAGCAACCGCUCACAAUAUGAUGCAGCUUAAUUGUACACCACUGCAGGCUACAACCACAAGACUGGUAUACCUUAAAGGCUGGUAUCAAGCUUGUAAGUUUCUCAGCUGGUACACCCUCACCUGUGUUCCAGUAGUUGUCACAGGUGCUCCAGGGCAGCUGGGAGCUAAAGGAGAACAGCAGGUAGAAGAGAGCCCAGGACAGAAUAAUGAUAGGGUUGGUAAUGUGUGACCAGCAUCAGACGCUUCCCAUUGUUUGUGCAUGAUGAGUGUUACUCACCUUCAGCCAGUGGGCACACCUUCCUCCAGCAGGUGACCCACCCCUCUUUGGUGUACUGGCCUACAGCGGUCUCCAAAAGGAAAAGCGGUACGCCACACGUCACCACAAACACCAGAUACGGCACCAGGAAUGCACCUGAAUGUUAACAAAUACUAAUAUGCAGUAUGUACAUUUGGAAUGGAGCAUACGCUGCUGGAGGCUUACCGCCGCCGUUUUUGUAGCACAAGUAAGGAAACCUCCACACGUUCCCCAAGCCAACAAUGUUGCCAGCAACAGCCAGGAGGAACUCCACCUUGUUGCCCCAGUGUCCUCUUUCCUCCACCUCAUUUUGGCCUCGUUUCGUGCUACGCGCUUUCCUCCACAUUCCCCAAAAAAUGUCAGUGUGAAUGCAACCGUUCACACUGGGUGUCCAGUUUUACUUGCAUACUCAUUGAUGUCUUUUGUCACUUAAUGAGCAACCGGCCGAGCAGUUAAUCAGUUCCCGCUGGAAGCGUCAAUUAUCUGCAGGCUGAAAAUGAACUGACUGAUUCAAAACGUUACUUUUGCAUUAUAGGUUGUAGAGUAAUAACAAAAGGCGUUAUUCAUUUAGUGCAUCUUUAAUUCCACCAAUUGUCUGUCAUAAAAAAUAACUUUUGUUUAUUUUAAUUCAUGCAGCAAUAUGCUCAGAAAGGUACAAAUCCAGUGUCCUUGCUACGCACAUGUUGUUUGACCUGCAAAACAUGACAAACUGCUUUGAAGCUAAAGCAUCUCAGAGCAGAGAAAAAGCCACAUGAAGAAAAAGAAGCCAUUGUGUAUCACAGGUCCACUUCCACUAUGUUCAGUCCUUGUAUCACUGAGCUGCUUCUGCUGACCAGAUGCAAGAUGGCAGCGCUUCAUGUUUCCAGCUGCGUCCCACACCAGCAGCUCAGCCUGGGCGGAGCAGCAGCUGGACAUGUAGCUCACCCACAGUGGCUGAGAUGAGCCCACAGCCCACUCGGAUACAUUCAAGGGGGUGUCUCCUUCCAAUAGUGUGACCUCAUGCGGAUGCUGGGGCUGACUCUUGCCCGCUUUUUCCCCUGUGGGUGGGGGAUUGCGGAAUAAAGUCAAAGUUCCUUGGCCCCGCUGUAGUUGGAGGGCAGCGAGGCCAGAACGCCCCCUGUCUGACACAGCCAGAGACACACUCCAGGUGGACUCAUUGCAAGCAGGAGAACAGGAGGACUGCACUCGUGUGACAGAGCAGGAUGGAGGGGAGGUGUCAGGGUCCUUAAAAAGACAACAGUACUGACCUUCAUCUGCAUACGUGACAAAAACGUAAACAGUCCAAUCCAGUUGUCCCAUACUCACUGGCGGAACCACUGUCAAGUAGGCCACGGCGUAAUUUGUGUCCGCAGAAUCGAGAGCGUGCACUGAGAGCGUUAGGGUGACAGUUGCACCGGCCUGAGCAGUGGAGGGCGUGUGAAGGCCCACCUGACUGUGGAAAGUCUUGUGAGCGCCAACAUGGAACCUAAUGGGAGCAAAGACAAGACUUUUUAUUUUGGGUGUAAGACAAACAAAAGCUUUUUAGGUGUUGUACUACCUGUGAGGUCCUCUGCUAUGAAGAUACCCAGAGUCAUCCUCAGCCAUCAAACUGAACAGUCUGUCCGGGCCGUGGUUCAGGAUGUUGACGUUAACUAUGGUGCUGUGACCAGGUACCAAAGGGGGGGCAGAUAGAACCUGUGUGUGAUUUGAAAAAGCUGAAAGUUGUACAGUAUGUACAACAUAUGCUAUGAGCUAUGUAAUGUAUUGGCCUGUAGAGAGUUAAAAUUAAAUAAUAAAAAAACAAAUUAUGUGAUAUAUCGUAUGAUAUAUAAUCAGGCUGAAGUAGUUUUCAAAGAUUGACUCGUUUGAAGUGAAAAAAAUAUGUAAUGUUUACAUUUAUAUUAAUAUUUGGGAAGCUGACAUUUUUUGUCGUCCACUUCAAGUGGAAUUUUUUUUUUUAAAUCUGACUCUGUGGACAAAAUAAUAUGAAAAUCUGUUUUGCUGCUCUAAUAAUAAGCAAAUACUCACUGAAAUAUAUUGAAGGAAAUUAUUUCAGGUUUUUUUUUCUCAAAAAAACUUGUAAAUUGUUAUGUAAACAGACUAGCCUGUGCUGAUGUAGUAAGACACUCCUGAUCAACAUUUGGAGACCAUUUGAAAAAUUGCAAGCGUUUACAUUUUGCACUGUUGGAUCUUAAGGAGGUACUUAAACUCCACCUAUGGUCAUGACCUUUGGGUAGUGACUGAAAGGACAAGAUUGCGGGUACAAGUGGCCGAAAUUAGAUAAGGUGAGAAGCACUGCCAUCCGGGAUAAACUGCUGCUCCUCCGCAUUGAGAGGAGUCAGAUGAGGUGGCUCGGGCAUCUGGUCAGGAUGCCUCCUUCAGGGCACGUCCGAGGCCUCGGGGAAGACCCAGGACACGUUAGAGGGACUUUGUCUCCCCACUGGCUUGGGAAUGGGAUCCGCCGGGAGGAGCUGGACAAAGUGGCCGGGGAGAGGAAAGCCUGGGCUUCGUUGCUUAAGCUGCUGCCCCCGCGACCCGACCUCGGAUAAGCAGUAGAAGAUGGAUGGCUAGAUGAAUCUUAAGGAGGUUGUAAGUAGAGCUUCAAAAUUCAAAAAGAAGAAAUGUAAGUGAGGCAAAAAAAAUUGAGCAAACAAGCAUUAAAGUGAAAUAGGCUGUUUAUUAGCUGAUCAAAAGUUUAAGACUAUACCUAAAAAACAACAACGCCGAAACCCCCCCCCAUCCACCCAUCCAUUUCUAUGCCGCUCAUCAUUAGUCGGGUCACGGGGGUAUGCUGGAGCCGAUUAGGGAGUUAGGGGUUUUAGAGGAUCGAAACUCCCCUAAAACCAAAAAAUUUAAAUUAAAAAAAGGACUCAGUAAUGAGUAGCUACACCAUUGAUGUUAAUUAAAUAGGUUUGGGCAUGUUGAUACCAGUGUUGCUGGAAUGUUGCUCCAAGUGGUAAAGAUGGCUUCACGGAGGGCAUCCCCUGUCUGGAACUGAUUUUUGCCGUCCAUACACAAAUGUUCUCAGUUGGAUUUAGAUCAGGGGAACACACAGGAUGUUCCAAAACAGUGAGAUUAUUAAGAGUCUUUUGUCAGGCGGGCAUUGUGAACUACAGUAUUGUCCUGUUGAAAAAGCCAAUCAUUACCGCACAGACGAGGGCCUUCAGUCAUGAGGGAUGCCCGCUGCAACAUCUCCACAUAGCUAUCCACCGUUUGACACCCCUGCACAACCUGAAUCUCCAUUGUUCCAUUGAAGGAAAAAGCACCCCAGAUCAUGAUCAGGACUGUAUACCUGUAUAAUAUUUUUAAUUUUAAGAGCCUAUAUGUCAGCUUUGUGUUACAAGUAUCAAUAUUACAACUUUUUCUCCUUACAUUAUGCCGUCUUGCACUUUUUCCCAAUUUAUUUUUAGUAAUUGUACUGUAUUUUUGAAUGUGCCGCGGGCCAAUUAAAAAUGACUGCACUUUGGACAUGCCUUUCUUAAAGGGUUAACAAUAUUGUCUGCUUCUGACAACUCCAGCAGAAGCAUUAUGAUCAGGUGUACCUAAUGAAGUCUUGCCUGUGUUGUUUAGCACAAUGGCUACUUGCUCACCUGUAUCUGGACAUGAGUGGGCUGUACCAUUUCUGUGGCAACCCUCUCCAGCCUGUUUCCUUCGCUGUCACGUCCCGUGAGGCGAACACAGAAGGGAACUCUAGGAAUGGAGUCCACCCAACCAACCAGUUCCUCAGCAGCGUAGCUUGAUGAUGGAGGUGAUGCGGAGGAGGAGGAGUUUAGCAACACCUGCUUGAGGCUCUCCCCUUCAGCGCCCAGCAGUGUCACAUGACUGAAAGAAACCUCCUGGUGAGGAGCCAGGCCCGUCACUGCCAGCACCAAAAAGGCAGGAACACCUAAAGAAUGAAAAAGGGCUGCCCUCCACUCUGGCCAGUCCAGGCCUUGGCUUGCAGGUUCCACUGGCCCGGCUGGAUAGGAGGCAGUAGACGAACACAGUACAGACCAGUGAAGGGCUCUACAUCAGCCAGGGAGCCUUGCUCGCUCAGCAGAGACUGGCUUUGGCCUUGAAAGAGGACCAGUAAGGAUGCAUUUUGUCAGAAGGCCAGUGAUGUGCAGGGUGACGUUUUUUACGGAGCUGUCAACUCUGAAGGAAUGUGACGACAUCUGGUCCUGGUCCGUCUUGACGUGGAGGAGAGUCACCUGCAUUCUGGAUGUCCUUCAGAGUGUCAAGCGUGACAUUGAGGAUGGCCUGCUCAGUGAUGUGUUGGUGUGUGUACGAAUCCCAGGACAGCGUCAACACCCGAGACCAAAAGUUGGGGAGGAAGCAUGUGCACGUUGAAGCCAGGAGGAGAAGAUUCUGGGAUUACCGCCACGACUCGCACCAACCACCUUACGGCCACAGCUCCGAUCAGCCGCCUCGACAAUGGAGGCACAGAACAUGGCCCACUCAGACUCAAUGUCCGCCGCCUCCCUUGGAACAUGGUUGAAGCUCUCCUGGAGGUGGAAGUUGAAACUCUUUCUGACAGGGGACUCUGCCAGAUGUUCCCCUUCAGACCCUCACAAUACGUUUCGGCCUGCCAGGUCUGACCGGCAUCCUCCCUGACCAUCGGAGCCAAGUCACCACCAGGUGGUGACUGGUUGAUAGUUUUGUCCCUCUCUUCACCCGAGUGUCCAAAACAUGUGGCCGCAAGUCUGACGACACAACAACAAAGUCGAUCAUCGAACUGCGGCCCAGGGUGUCCUGGUGCGAGGGGCACAUAUGAACACCCUUAUGCUUGAACAUGGUGUUCGUUAUGCACAAUCUGUGACGAGCACAGAUGUCCAAUAACAAAACACGGCUUGGAUUCAGAUCAGGGGGGCCGUUCCUCCCAAUCACACCUCUCCAGGUCUCACUGUUGCUGCCAGCGUGAGCGUUGAAGUCCCCCAGCAGAACAAAGGAAUUCCCAGAGGGAGCACUCUCCAGCACUCCCUCUGAGGACUCCAAAAAGAGCGGGUAUUCUGAACUGUUGUUUGGCGCAUAAGCACAAACAACAGUCAGGACCCGUCUCCCCACCCGAAGGCGAAGGGAAACUACCCUCUCGUUCGCUCGGUUAAACUCCAACAUACAGGCCCUGAGCCGGGUGGCAAGAAUUGUCAGCCCUGCCCGUUACCUCUCACUGCUGGCAACGCCAGAGUGGAACUAGGACCUGUGUGUCAUGGGUGACCCUACCAGGGCCGUAAAAGCCCCCGACAACUUGGCUCCUAGGAUCAUUGGGACACGCAAACUCCUUCACCAUGAUAAGGUGGUAGCUCAGGAAGGAGUUAUUAAAUGCAUAUUGUCGAUAAAUAUGUCUGUGUUAAUUUCCAUAGUUUUUCCAUAUUUGUAUAACAUUUAUAUAACAUAAUGCCAAGUUCUUUUGGACUUAAGCCAGCCUGCACUUGAAAAGGCAGAGAAGAUGGUAGAGGACGCUUUAUCAAACUCAACUCCAAUAGAUUUUCUUGAGUUUUUUUCACACUUGGUUAGGUUAGGCUGAUCAAAGAGGAAUUGCAUCAAGAUACUACUUGUCCGAAGUCGGCUAUGAUGGGCUCCAGCAUGCCCCCGCAACCCUAGUGAGGAGAAGCGGCAUAGAAAAUGGAUGGAUACUGCUCAGUUGUCUACUAAUUGAAAUGAAAGAAGUGUAUUUUUAGCAUUAUUUUUAGCAUUUAGCACAUGCGUUUUUUUUUUUUUUUUUUUUUUUUUUUACAGUGAUACCAAUAGAUGCAUUUAAAAAAUAAACACUGUGCAAAAUUCACAAAUAAGAAUCCAAUUAAAUA